rnacentral:rRNA from 1 species
CUACGGGGGGCUGCAGUAGGGAAUAUUGGUUAAUGGGCGAAAGCCUGAACCAGCAACGCCGCGUGCACGAUGAAGGCCUUCGGGUCGUAAAGUGCUUUUUAAGGGGAUGAGCAAGGACAGUACCCUUAGAAUAAGCCUCGGCUAACUACGUGCCAGCAGCCGCGGUAAAACGUAGGAGGCGAGCGUUAUCCGGAUUUACUGGGCGUAAAGCGCGUGCGGGCGGUGCGGUAAGUUGGAUGUGAAAGCUCCUGGCUUAACUGGGGGAGGGCGUUCAAUACUGCCGUACUAGAGGAUGGGAGAGGGAGGUGGAAUUCCGGGUGUAGUGGUGAAAUGCGUAGAUAUCCGGAGGAACACCAGUGGCGAAAGCGGCCUCCUGGCCCAUUUCUGACGCUCAGACGCGAAAGCUAGGGUAGCAAACGGGAUUAGAAACCCGUGUAGUC